rnacentral:rRNA from 1 species
CGUGAGGAACCUGCCUUGGAGAGGGGGAAAACAACUCGAAAGGGGUGCUAAUACCGCAUAAUGCAGUUGGGUCGCAUGGCUCUGACUGUCAAAGAUUUAUCGCUCUGAGAUGGCCUCGCGUCUGAUUAGCUAGUUGGUGAGGUAAUGGCCCACCAAGGCGACGAUCGGUAGCCGGACUGAGAGGUUGAACGGCCACAUUGGGACUGAGACACGGCCCAG